AUGUGGAUGUCCUCGCACAUGUGCUAAAAUUAGAACGAUACAGAGAUUAGCGUGGCUGCUGUGUGAGGAUGACAUGCAAAUUUGUGAAGCAUUCUCUAUUUUU
ensembl:snRNA U6 U6 spliceosomal RNA